ACAUUAGUAAUAUUUCAGUUCGAUCGUUCCUAUGAUGAUUAUUCAGAAAAAAAUAUAGUUAAAUAAUCCAUGGAAAUAUGCACAGCAAUGUCUGCACUGCAUACAUAAUUUAACUAACAGCAAAACUAUCAAAUAUGGCGAGGAGAGGUGGAGCUACGGCAAGCUGGAAAUGGCCGAUUUGCCAUUCACUCGGGCAAUUAGUCACAGAAAACAAACCAGCAGCUGCAGCAGGCAACAUAACGUCGAUGACAGACAAAUCUUGUCCGAACUGUUUUCUUCCCCAAAGUUGUCGUACAGUAAUUUCACAGCAUAUGAUUGAUUUUUACUAGGUUUAGUCAUCAACGUCAACAAGACCAAAUCCACCUGUCAGAAGACGAGUUAAAGUACUAUUCCAUUUAGUUCCACCACCUAUUGUAAUAUUUACAGUUACGUAUUUUGACCUCAACAGUAAGGCGUCUUCAGUGUCUCGUACUCGACUCGACAAGGACAUUCCACUAAAAGAACUGAAAUAAUUUUCUCAACAAAAAUCGAUGGAUGUGAACACGGUGACCUGGUUCUGGUAUUCAAUCUGGUCAAUCAGUGAAGAAUGUUGAAAACAUCCAAUAUCUUGGUAGCCAAAUGGCGUCAGACUACAGUACCAAUGACUUGUGCCUGGUGGCCUCACAAUUGGAUCUUAGCAACCGAUAGGCCGAUAGCAACUGAAAUUCGGGAAUGGAAGUGGGGCUGGGUCGGCGGAAACGAAAUCUUUAAACAAGCACUAGACUGGAGCCCAGGUGGACAUCGCAGCAGAGAUAGACUCAGAGGUUCAUGGCGGCGCAGCCUCAAUAAAUAAAUAAAAGAAGUCGACCAAAAUCUCACUUGGCAACAUUGAAGGCGAUAGUUGGACAUUGCUCACGAUGGUAAUCUUUCAAGUCGGCCUUUUGGACCACUCGUGGUGUACAGGACCCAUAAUGUCUCCUUUUUUGCCGUCACUGCAUGGAGUUAUGUCAUCUUCACUACUCAUGGCGGCAUUGUCAUGACCAUGCUUCACGCCGGUUUCCACGUUCUCACUCUUCGAUGUCAGCGAACUCCGCU